GCCAGUGGCGGCCCCCAGCGCGCCAGGACUGGGUCUUCUCGGAGUCGGGUUACUUGUGAAUGCAGCCCAAAGCGGGUAGUAAACUCCAUCUAAGGCUAAAUACCGGCAUGAAACCGAUAGUCGACAAGUACCGUAAGGGAAAGUUGAAGAGAACUUUGAAGAGAGAGUUCAAGAGGGC